GUGCCAGCAGCCGCGGUAAUACAGAGGUCUCAAGCGUUGUUCGGAUUCAUUGGGCGUAAAGGGUGCGUAGGUGGCGCCAUAAGUCAGGUGUGAAAUCUCGGGGCUCAACCCCGAAACUGCACUUGAUACUGUGGUGCUCGAGUACUGGAGAGGAGAUUGGAAUUUACGGUGUAGCAGUGAAAUGCGUAGAUAUCGUAAGGAAGACCAGUGGCGAAGGCGAAUCUCUGGACAGUUACUGACACUGAGGCACGAAGGCCAGGGGAGCAAACGGGAUUAGAUACCCCCGUAGUCC
rnacentral:rRNA from 1 species